UAGGUAGUGUCAUGUUGUUGGGCUUUUUCUUUUUCUCCCACAACACCAACCUGCAUUGA
rnacentral:pre_miRNA from 1 species